UUAUUAAACCCAACUGCGCUUUAGCUUA
rnacentral:sRNA from 1 species